ACCUCAUCUGUCCUUAGGAUAGAAGAUUUCCUGCCUUUCUACUUUUUAUUUAAGGGGAUUCCUGUUUCAUGGCUCCAAGAUGUAAAUGUUGAUCACACAGGACCAAAAUAAGACUGCCAUUAGAGGAGAACGGCCAAGCCGGCACACGCAGAGAUCAACAACCACUGCCAUUCCCACCGACGUCAAAUCCACCGGUAAAACCUCUGAUGUGCAACGCCAGUGCAGAACCUGCAACAGCACCACACACAGUACAAGGCUACCAUGGCUUUCCAGUCAGUGGCAGCUCUGGCCAUCCUCAUGCAGGACACAACGGCCCUGUAAAUGAGGAAGCCAUUUCCCUGCCCUCCAGCACCGAGUCCAGCCCACAGACACCACGGGAGGGACUGGGUAAGGAGGAGGAUGAGCACGGCCAUCUUCUCCGCUCCUCCUCGACAGGCUCCUGUGAGAUAACCCAGUGUGUCUCGCCAGAGAAGCAUCACGGCAGUGGUGAGUCAAAGGCACUGGUCCUGGAAAGGAUACACCUCCAAAAUCAACAUCCAGUGCUUCCCAGCUGACAGGGCAGGGCUGUGCUGGGGAAGGAGGACAGGCUCCGCCGAAAGGACCAGCUGCUACAGGGACACACUACGGCUGUGAGUCUUUCAUUAAACUUUGCAAGACA